rnacentral:rRNA from 1 species
CAGCACCUCAAGUGGUCAGGAUGAUUAUUGGGCCUAAAGCAUCCGUAGCCGGCGCUGUAAGUUUUCGGUUAAAUCUGUACGCUCAACGUACAGGCUGCCGGGAAUACUGCAGCGCUAGGGAGUGGGAGAGGUAGACGGUACUCGGUAGGAAGGGGUAAAAUCCUUUGAUCUAUUGAUGACCACCUGUGGCGAAGGCGGCCUACCAGAACACGUCCGACGGUGAGGGAUGAAAGCUGGGGGAGCAAAACGGAUUAGAUACCCGAGUAGUCC